ACACACUUAUAUUCUAUUGCGAGCUAUACGGGUGUCCGAAUUUCGGACACUCUUAUAUUAUAUUGCGCGCGAGUUAUAUGGGUGUCUGAAUUUCAGACAGCCAUAUAACUCGCAAUAGAAUAUAAGAGUGU